rnacentral:rRNA from 1 species
GACGAACGCUGGCGGCGUGCUUAACACAUGCAAGUCGAGCGGUAAGGCUCCUUCGGGAGUACACGAGCGGCGAACGGGUGAGUAACACGUGAGUAACCUGCCCCAAUCAUCGGGAUAACCAUUGGAAACGAUGGCUAAUACCGAAUACGACCACCGAAGGCAUCUUCUGGUGGUGGAAAGCUCCGGCGGAUUGGGAUGGACUCGCGGCCUAUCAGCUUGUUGGUGAGGUAAUGGCUCACCAAGGCAACGACGGGUAGCCGGCCUGAGAGGGUGACCGGCCACACUGGGACUGAGACACGGCCCAGACUCCUACGGGAGGCAGCAGUGGGGAAUAUUGGACAAUGGGCGCAAGCCUGAUCCAGCAACGCCGCGUGAGGGAUGACGGCCUCGGUUGUAACCGUACUUCUACGUAGGACGAAGCGAAAGUAGACGGUACCGUACCAGAAGAAGGAACGGCCGAACUACGUAGCCAGCAGCCGCGGUAAAAGUCAACGUCG